UGUGGCAGACUAGUGCAAUAAACUUAAGAAUUAUCUAAAAAGUUAAUCUUUCUUUAGAA
rnacentral:tRNA from 1 species